CUUUCUCCUAUAGAGCUCCAUUUUUAUGGAAUGGUCUGCCUACCCAUGUGAGAGACGUAGACUCAGUCUCAACCUUUAAGUCUUUACUGAAGACUUAUCUCUUCAGUAGGUCCUAUGAUUAAGUAUAGUCUGGCCCAGGAGUGUGAAGGUGAACGGAAAGGCUGGUGCAACGAACCGCCCUUGCUGUCUCUGCCUUGCCGGUUCCCCUCUUUCCACUGGGAUUCUCUGCCUCUAACCCUAUUACAGGGGCUGAGUCAUUGGCUUACUGGUGUUCUUCCAUGCCGUCCAUGGGAGGGGUGCGUCACUUGAGUGGGUUGAGUCACUGACGUGGUCUUCCUGUCUGGGUUGGCGCCCCCUCCUUGGGUUGUGCCAUGGCGGAGAUCUUUGUGGGCUAUACUCGGCCUUGUCUUAGGACGGUAAGUUGGUGGUUGUAGACAUCCCUCUAGUGGUGUGGGGGCUGUGCUUUGGCAAAGUGGGUGGGGUUAUAUCCUGCCUGUUUGGCCCUGUCCGGGGGUAUCAUCGGAUGGGGCCACAGUGUCUUCUGAUCCCUCCUGUCUCAGCCUCCAGUAUUUAUGCUGCAGUAGUUUAUGUGUCGGGGGGCUAGGGUCAGUCUGGUACAUCUGGAGUAUUUCUCUUGUCUUAUCCGGUGUCCUGUGUGAAUUUAAAUAUGCUCUCUCUAAUUCUCUCUCUCUUUCUCUCUUUCUUUCUUUCUCUCGGAGGACCUGAGCCCUAGGACCAUGCCUCAGGACUACCUGGCAUGAUGACUCCUUGCUGUCCCCAGUCCACCUGGCCAUGCUGCUGCUCCAGUUUCAACUGUUCUGCCUGCGGCUAUGGAACCCUGACCUGUUCACCGGACGUGCUUGUUGCACCCUCGACGACUACUAUGAUUAUUAUUAUUUGACCAUGCUGGUCAUUUAUGAACAUUUUAACAUCUUGACCAUGUUCUGUUAUAAUAUCCACCCGGCACAGCCAGAAGAGGACUGGCCACCCCUCAUAGCCUGGCAGAACAGUUGAAACUGGAGCAGCAGCACGGCCAGGUGGACUGGGGACAGCAAGGAGUCAUCAGGCCAGGUAGUCCUGAGGCAUGGUCCUAGGGCUCAGGUCCUCCGAGAGAGAGAGAGAGAGAGAGAAAGAAAGAAAGAAAGAAAGAAAGAAAGAAAGAAAGAAAGAAAGAGAGAGAGAGAGAGAGAGAGAAAGAGAGAAAGAAAGAGAGAAUUGGAGAGAGCAUACUUAAAUUCAUACAGGAGACCGGAUAAGACAGGAGAAAUACUCCAGAUAUAACAGACUGACCCUAGCCCCCCGUCUGUUAUAUCUCAAGUUUUUCUCCUGUCUUAUCCGGUCUCCUGUGUGAAUUUAAGUAUGCUCUCUCAGCAAAAUCAUAUGUGAAGAAUGCAACAAAAAUGCAGAAUCAUCUGGCCAAGUGCAUAAAGUUCCCUCAGCGCUCACAACAAGCGACCUCUGACAAAAGUCCCUCUACUUCUAUUCGAGGUGAAAAUUAUGAACCACUCGUUUUUUUGACUCAAUGGAGGAACGUAGUCAGAGAAAUGCUGAUGAAUGUCUUGCUUGAGCUGUGUAUGCAACUGGUUCACCUCUGAUGCUCACAGGCAAUGUGUAUUGGAAGAGAUUUCUGAAUGUUCUUCGCCCAGCAUACACCCCUCCAACCAGACAUGCUUUAUCUACUAAUUUGCUGGAUGCAGAGUUCAACAGAGUUCAAGUGAAGGUCAAGCAAAUCAUAGAGAAAGCAGACUGUAUUGCAAUCAUCUCUGAUGGGUGGUCGAAUGUUCGUGGGCAAGGAAUAAUUAACUACAUAAUUUCCACCCCUCAACCAGUAUUCUACAAGAGCACAGACACAAGGGACAAGAGACACACCGGUCUCUACAUUGCAGAUGAGCUGAAGGCAGUCAUCAAUGACCUUGGACCAUAGAAGGUAUUUGCACUGGUGACAGACAAUGCUGCGAACAUGAAGGCUGCUUGGUCUAAAGUGGAGGAGUCCUACCCUCACAUCACACCCAUUGGCUGUGCUGCUCAUGCAUUGAAUGUGCUCCUCAAGGACAUCAUGGCACUGAAAACAAUGGAUACACUCUACAAGAGAGCCAAGGAAAUGGUUAGGUAUGUGAAGGGUCAUCAAGUUAUAGCAGCAAUCUACUUCACCAAGCAAAGUGAGAGCACCACAUUGAAGCUGCCCAG
rnacentral:lncRNA from 1 species